GCGAUGGAUUAAGAGCUUGCUCUUAUGAAGUUAGCGGCGGACGGGUGAGUAACACGUGGGUAACCUACCCAUAAGACUGGGAUAACUCCGGGAAACCGGGGCUAAUACCGGAUAAUAUUUUGAACUGCAUAGUUCGAAAUUGAAAGGCGGCUUCGGCUGUCACUUAUGGAUGGACCCGCGUCGCAUUAGCUAGUUGGUGAGGUAACGGCUCACCAAGGCGACGAUGCGUAGCCGACCUGAGAGGGUGAUCGGCCACACUGGGACUGAGACACGGCCCAGACUCCUACGGGAGGCAGCAGUAGGGAAUCUUCCGCAAUGGACGAAAGUCUGACGGAGCAACGCCGCGUGAGUGAUGAAGGCUUUCGGGUCGUAAAACUCUGUUGUUAGGGAAGAACAAGUGCUAGUUGAAUAAGCUGGCACCUUGACGGUACCUAACCAGAAAGCCACGGCUAACUACGUGCCAGCAGCCGCGGUAAUACGUAGGUGGCAAGCGUUAUCCGGAAUUAUUGGGCGUAAAGCGCGCGCAGGUGGUUUCUUAAGUCUGAUGUGAAAGCCCACGGCUCAACCGUGGAGGGUCAUUGGAAACUGGGAGACUUGAGUGCAGAAGAGGAAAGUGGAAUUCCAUGUGUAGCGGUGAAAUGCGUAGAGAUAUGGAGGAACACCAGUGGCGAAGGCGACUUUCUGGUCUGUAACUGACACUGAGGCGCGAAAGCGU
rnacentral:rRNA from 1 species